CUUAGCUUGAGCUAAAGGAGUUGGAAGACAGAACGACGGGUAAAAAUAAUUGUGGGGGCACAUUUGGAGCUGCAAAAAGUAACAAGUUUGUUUAUUGGAGAGAGAGACAGAGAGUGCAUGUGAAAAUCAUAGCAAAAUGAAAAGCUUGACAAUCCUUUAACAGUAGUGAGAAAUGCCAAAAUUAAUUUUCAGUCUGUGGAACAACCAUCUCUUGAACAACAAAAUUUUCCUCUGUUCCAUAACUUUUAUUUUUCAAUCUAAUAUAAGAUAUGUUACAAUAACAAUAAGAAGGUUCACAUGGUUUGGAAGCUCAAACGGUGGUAUUAAUUAUGACGCAAACGACUGCCUAUGAGGAUGAGCUCCGGCCUGAUAAAGAGUGAGAUGGUGUAUAGCCUUAGCAAGCAAAUCCCUCAACUCAGGAUGUUGAGCUAUCACAGGACGAGCUGCUCCUUCAAGAGCAUUCAAUGCCCUCACUUGUUCAAGGGCCUUGCUAUUCCCAGAAUUCAGGGCAAGGUGACAUAGUAAUACUAGGCCAUGCAUUCGAGCUCGAUCACCAUUCCUUAUCAAUUUCAUCAAAGGCUGAACCCCAUCAAACUCUAUAAUUGCUUUUGAAUGUUGAGAGCAAUUGAAAUUAUCAGGAGACACAAAUUUCCCCAAGGAAAUAGCUACUUCAGUUGCAACAUCCACAUUUCUAUUACCAAGCUGGGCAACUAAAGGGGCAAUUAUCCUGGUCUCCCUAGCAGGGAAAGUUCGAGCUAAGCACCCAAUUGAUCUAAUAGCAGGAAUCUGCAACUUCGGAUCACUUUCUUCCUGAAUUACUCUUAAAAGCUGAUUCAAAACUGCCUUGGCAGGAGGCCAAUUGGUCUUAAAAGCUGCACGUCUAAGAUCAUCAUUGGAUUCUGCCACUGCUACAAUCUCCGAAACCGUCAUCAAGCAAUUUAACUGCAACUCCCCUUUUUCAUGUUCAAUAAUCUUGGCCAAGCAAAGCAGGCCUUUGGUCUCUGUAAUCUUCCUACUAUUGGAUACACUCCCUUUAGACAAUUUCCAUAAUGCCAGUGCGCAACUAACCUUAAGCUUAAGCCGCACCUCAGGUGUUUCCAUCUCCCUUUCCUUUCUGUGGUGCGAAUUACCAUCAGAAGAAUGACCAUUGUUGUAUCUUAUAUUAUUAUAAGACAAUUCUUUAUUCAUUUGCACAAGCGAAUGAAUACUUGUUUUAGCAGACUGAUUUUUGGCAACGUCCAAAUCCAAGUCAAUGGAUAACAGAGAUACCAAAGGCCGAUUCACGGUCUCUCUCAUGAACUCCUCCUGCGCAAAUGGGUCAAGUUCCGCCAUGCUGGCCACUAAAUUCGCAACCACAAUCUGAACCUUCAUCGGAGAAUCCCCUAAAACACCCACAAUGAUAGGGACCCCAAGACAAACCACAAUCAACCUAACUCUCUCCUGGUCAGUGGCGAUAUUGAAGAGGGCAUUUGCAGCAGCAAUUUGCGCCUCAGGAGAGGGACCUUCCUUNCUUCCUUAAGCAACUUCAAAACAGGGCAAAAUCCCUCCUUCCUUCACUAUCAUCUUCUUGUUCCUAUCGCUAUCCCGAGCUAGAGAGGCGAGCUCGUUAGCCGCAUCAACGCGGUCUUUCGGCUGGCCCAUCUGGAUAGUCGAUAUAUGAGACCAGACCCAAGCUAGAAUAGGAUCGUUACUAGCAAUUGGAGGGAGGGACAGAUAAGUACCUCCAUCGGACUCGAAAAU
rnacentral:misc_RNA from 1 species